rnacentral:piRNA from 1 species
UCCAUUAAGAUAGGCCACAUGGAGA